rnacentral:tRNA from 1 species
UCUAAUAUAGCAAAUAAGUGCAUUGGAUUUAAGUUCCAAAUAUAAAAGAUUAAUCUUUUUUUUAGAA